rnacentral:rRNA from 1 species
GACGAACGCUGGCGGCGCGCCUAACACAUGCAAGUCGAGCGAAGCGGCGAACGGGUGAGUAACGCGUGAGGAACCUGCCUCUCACAACGGGAUAGCCUCGGGAAACCGGGAUUAAUACCGUAUGGUGAGAGAUGGCCUCGCGUCUGAUUAGUUAGUUGGGGGGGGAACGGCCUACCAAGACGACGAUCAGUAACCGGCCUGCGAGGGGUAACGGUCACAUUGGAACGGAGACACUGGCCAAACUCCUACGGGAUGCAGCAGUGGGGAAUCUUGAACAAUGGGGGGAACCUUGAUGCAGCGACGCCGCGUGAGCGAUGAAGUUUUUCGAAUCGUAAAGCUCUGUCCUAUGGGAAGCGGUACCAUAGGAGGAAGCCCCGGCUAACUACGUGCCAGCCGCCGCGGUAAUAC